CCUACGGGAGGCAGCAGUGGGGCAUAUUGCACAAUGGGGGAAACACUGAUGCAGCGACGCCGCGGGAGUGAGGAAGUAUUUCGGUAUGUAAAGCUCUAUCAGCAGGGAAGAAAAUGACGGUACCUGACUAAGAAGCACCGGCUAACUACGUGACAGCAGCCGCGGCAAUACGUAGGGGGCCAGCGUUAACCGGAUUGAAGGGGUGUAAAGGGGGCGUCGACGGCUAAUCAAGUCAGAAGUGAAAACCCAGGGCUCAACAUUGGGACUGCUUUUGAAACUGUGCAGCUGGAGUGCAGGAGAGGUAAGCGGAAUUCCUAGUGUAGCGGUGAAAGGCGUAGAUAUUAGGAGGAACACCAGUGGCGAAGGCGGCUUACUGGACUGUAACUGACGUUGAGGCUCGAAAGCGUGGGGAGCAAACAGGAUUAGAUACCCCAGUAGUC
rnacentral:rRNA from 1 species